UCGGGUUGUGAAGCACUUUUGUCCGGAAAGAAAUCCUCUGGGUUAAUACCUCGGGGGGAUGACGGUACCGGAAGAAUAAGCACCGGCUAACUACGUGCCAGCAGCGCGGUAAUCGUAGGGUGCGAGCGUUAAUCGGAAUUACUGGGCGUAAAGCGUGCGCAGGCGGUUCGCUAAGACCGAUGUGAAAUCCCCGGGCUUAACCUGGGAACUGCAUUGGUGACUGGCGGGCUAGAGUGUGGCAGAGGGGGGUAGAAUUCCACGUGUAGCAGUGAAAUGCGUAGAGAUGUGGAGGAAUACCGAUGGCGAAGGCAGCCCCCUGGGCUAACACUGACGCUCAUGCACGAAAGCGUGGGGAGCAAACAGGAUUAGAUACCCUGGUAGUCCACGCCCUAAACGAUGUCAACUAGUUGUUGGGGAUUCAUUUCCUUAGUAACGUAGCUAACGCGUGAAGUUGACCGCCUGGGGAGUACGGUCGCAAGAUUAAAACUCAAAGGAAUUGACGGGGACCCGCACAAGCGGUGGAUGAUGUGGAUUAAUUCGAUGCAACGCGAAAAACCUUACCUACCCUUGACAUGGUCGGAAUCCUGCUG
rnacentral:rRNA from 1 species